GAACAGCUCUCCAGCCAGACAGCUCCCCACCUCUUCUUGCCAACCACACUCAGCAUACACACUAUUUGCCCUUCAAAAAACAAGUAAGAACAUACAAACAAAAACAACUGAGCUCCACAAAUGCCAAAAAGCCAUGCACACACAACAGCCCCAGCAGGGGUAAUCACAGACUUACCCUUUACAGAUGAAAAAGGUAACUCUGGUAUGACCCUGCUCGGUCUCUUGGUAAUACUGUGACUCUAGUCAAGCCUCUUGCAGCGUGUAAUCAAGCUCUUUUUAGUCCUCUGGAGAGUUACACAAGUGGUUUGAUACAUCUAGAGAUUAAAAUAUAACCCCAAAACAGAAGUGUAUCCCACCGUCCCAAAAACGAGC
rnacentral:lncRNA from 1 species